GCCUUGGUGGGGGGCGCGGGCAAACUUUGUCCGCCGGACUCGGAAUGGGGCGAGACUUUGCAAGGGGCCUCGAGGUACCCGCGGGAAGUCGCGGGCACAGCCGCGCCCAAAAAUAAGCGCCCGAGGGUCGUGGUGCCAAAACCCCCCAGCGGAAAAAUGGCCAAAAAACGGGUGGGCUAUAGCCUUGGUGGGGGGCGCGGGCGAAGUUCGUCCGCCGGAUUUGGAAUGGGGCGACACUUUGCGAGGGGCCUCGGGUUGCCAAAAAUAAGCCGCGGGCAGAGCCGCGCCCAAAAAUAAGCGCCCGAAGGUCGUGGUGCCAAAACCCCCCAGCGGAAAAAUGGCCAAAAAACGGGUGGGCUAUAGCCUUGGUUGGGGGCGCGGGCGAAGUUCGUCCGCCGGACUCGGAAUGGGGCGAGACUUUGCGAGGGGCGUCGGGGUGCCCGCGGGAAGUCGCGGGCACAGCCUUGCCCAAAAAUAAGCACCCGAAGGUCGUGGUACCAAAACCCCCAAGCGGAAAAAUGGCCAAAAAACAAGUGGGCUAUAGCCUUGGUGGGGGGCGCGGGCGAAGUUCGUCCGCCGGACUCGGAAUGGGGCGAGACUUUGUGAGGGGCCUCGGGGUGCCCGCGGGAAGUCGCAGGCACAGCCGCGCCCAAAAAUAAGCGCCCGAAGGUCGUGGUGCCAAAACCCCCCAGCGGAAAAAUGGCCAAAAAACAGGUGGGCUAUAGCCUUGGUGGGGGGCGCGGGCGAAGUUCGUCCGCCGGACUCGGAAUGCGGCGAGACUUUGCGAGGGGCCUCGGGGUGCCAAAAAUAAGACGCGGACAAAGCCGCGCCCAAAAAUAAGCGCCCGAAGGUCGUGGUGCCCAAACCCCCCAGCGGAAAAAUGGCCAAAAAACGGGUGGGCUAUAGCCUAGGUGGGGGGCGCGGGCGAANNNNNNNNNNNNNNNNNNNNNNNNNNNNNNNNNNNNNNNNNNNNNNNNNNNNNNNNNNNNNNNNNNNNNNNNNNNNNNNNNNNNNNNNNNNNNNNNNNNNGCGAGGGGCCUCGGGGUGCCAAAAAUAAGCCGCGGGCAAAGCCGCGCCCAAAAAUAAGUGCCCGAAGGUCGUGGUGCCAAAACCCCCCAGCGGAAAAAUGGCCAAAAAACGGGUGGGCUAUAGCCUUGGUGGGGGGCGCGGGCAAACUUUGUCCGCCGGACUCGGAAUGGGGCGAGACUUUGCAAGGGGCCUCGAGGUACCCGCGGGAAGUCGCGGGCACAGCCGCGCCCAAAAAUAAGCGCCCGAGGGUCGUGGUGCCAAAACCCCCCAGCGGAAAAAUGGCCAAAAAACGGGUGGGCUAUAGCCUUGGUGGGGGGCGCGGGCGAAGUUCGUCCGCCGGAUUUGGAAUGGGGCGACACUUUGCGAGGGGCCUCGGGUUGCCAAAAAUAAGCCGCGGGCAGAGCCGCGCCCAAAAAUAAGCGCCCGAAGGUCGUGGUGCCAAAACCCCCCAGCGGAAAAAUGGCCAAAAAACGGGUGGGCUAUAGCCUUGGUUGGGGGCGCGGGCGAAGUUCGUCCGCCGGACUCGGAAUGGGGCGAGACUCUGCGAGGGGCGUCGGGGUGCCCGCGGGAAGUCGCGGGCACAGCCUCGCCAAAAAAUAAGCACCCGAAGGUCGUGGUACCAAAACCCCCAAGCGGAAAAAUGGCCAAAAAACGAGUGGGCUAUAGCCUUGGUGGGGGGCGCGGGCGAAGUUCGUCCGCCGGACUCGGAAUGGGGCGAGACUUUGUGAGGGGCCUCGGGGUGCCCGCGGGAAGUCGCAGGCACAGCCGCGCCCAAAAAUAAGCGCCCGAAGGUCGUGGUGCCAAAACCCCCCAGCGGAAAAAUGGCCAAAAAACGGGUGGGCUAUAGCCUUGGUGGGGGGCGCGGGCAAACUUUGUCCGCCGGACUCGGAAUGGGGCGAGACUUUGCAAGGGGCCUCGAGGUACCCGCGGGAAGUCGCGGGCACAGCCGCCCCAAAAAUUAGGCCCCGGAGGUUGGUGGUGCCAAACCCCCCAGCGGAAAAAUGGCCAAAAAACGGGUGGGCUAUAGCCUUGGUGGGGGGCGCGGGCGAAGUUCGUCCGCCGGAUUUGGAAUGGGGCGACACUUUGCGAGAGGCCUCGGGGUGCCAAAAAUAAGCCGCGGGCACAGCCGCGCCCAAAAAUAAGCGCCCGAAGGUCGUGGUGCCAAAACCCCCCAGCGGAAAAAUGGCCAAAAAACGGGUGGGCAAUAGCCUUGGUGAGGGGAGCGGGCGAAGUUCGUCCGCCGGUCUCGGAAUGGGGCGAGACUUUGCGAGGGGCCUCGGGGUGCCCGCGGGAAGUCGCGGGCACAGCCGUGCCCAAAAAUAAGUGCCCGAAGGUCGUGGUGCCAAAACCCCCCAGCGGAAAAAUGGCCAAAAAACGGGUGGGCUAUAGCCUUGGUGGGGUGCGCGGGCGAAGUUCGUCCGCCGGACUCGGAAUGGGGCGAGGCUUUGCGAGGGGCCUCGGGUUGCCAAAAAUAAGCCGCGGGCAAAGGCGCGCCCAAAAAUAAGCGCCCGAAGGUCGUGGUGCCAAAACCCCCCAGCGGAAAAAUGGCCAAAAAACGGGUGGGCUAUAGCCUUGGUGGGGG
rnacentral:lncRNA from 1 species